AACGACCUCGGGACGGAGAAGCGAAAGUGAAAAGUGGCUGCAGCCGGUGCGCUGCCUGCCCGCACCGAUACCAACGGCCUUCACCUCCGGCUUGCGACAAGAGCAACAGUAAAGUGCGCACCCGGCACCACCCCCGUCAUCUCUGGGCGCAAGAAAACACGGUUUCUUGUAACGACCGGCUGGCUCACCGUUGGAACCACGUCCAACGGGUCAACCAUCGGAUGUACACAUCUGGCGCCAGCGGCUGCGGCGGCGGCCGUACAAGCAGCGCCGCGCUGUCGCAGCUUUGCCCCAUCGCGGGCGGGAGGACAGCGAAUGCUGUGCAGUGUUACCCCCGCCUCCUCAGCGAAACCACAGAAGAGGUAAGUUCACGGUCAGUUUUCAGAUUUAUAUAUUGCAGAAGAUUGCAUCGAAUAUUACGAA